AUUGAACGCUGGCGGCAUGCUUUACACAUGCAAGUCGAACGGUAACAGGCCGCAAGGUGCUGACGAGUGGCGAACGGGUGAGUAAUGCAUCGGAACGUGCCCAGUCGUGGGGGAUAACGCAGCGAAAGUUGCGCUAAUACCGCAUACGAUCUAUGGAUGAAAGCGGGGGACCGUAAGGCCUCGCGCGAUUGGAGCGGCCGAUGUCAGAUUAGGAAGUUGGUGGGGUAAAGGCUCACCAAGCCGACGAUCUGUAGCUGGUCUGAGAGGACGACCAGCCACACUGGGAGUGAGACACGGCCCAGACUCCUACGGGAGGCAGCAGUGGGGAAUUUUGGACAAUGGGCGCAAGCCUGAUUCAGCAAUGCCGCGUGCAGGAAGAAGGCCUUCGGGUUGUAAACUGCUUUUGUACGGAACGAAACGGUCCUGGUUAAUACCCGGGGCUAAUGACGGUACCGUAAGAAUAAGCACCGGCUAACUACGUGCCAGCCGCCGCCGUAAAAC
rnacentral:rRNA from 1 species